rnacentral:rRNA from 1 species
GACGAACGCUGGCGGCGUGCCUAAUACAUGCAAGUCGAGCGAUGAAGAUUGGUGCUUGCACCAAUUUGAAGAGCAGCGCACGGGUGAGUAACGCGUGGGGAAUCUGCCUUUGAGCGGGGGACAACAUUUGGAAACGAAUGCUAAUACCGCAUAACAACUUUAUACAUAAGGUUUAAGUGUGAAAGAUGCAAUUGCAUCACUCAAAGAUGAUCUCGCGGUGUAUUAGCUAGGUGGUGAGGUAAAGGCGCAUCAAGGCGAUGAUACAUAGCCGACCUGAGAGGGUGGUCGGCCACAUUGGGAGUGAGACCCGGCCCAAUGGCCUUCGGGAGGCAGCAGUACGGCUUCGGCGGGCAUCGACGAGAGACUUAGCGAGAUGGGCCGAGUGAGUGAAGAAGAAUUUCGGGUCGGAAAACUCGGUUGGUAGGGAAGAACGUUGGUGCGACUGGAAAGAACAUCGAGUGACGGUAACUAGCAAGGAAGCGACGGCUAACUACGUG